GGGGCGCCUGUGGGAGUCGUGGAGGGAACUUUCCCAGGCCCCGAGGCGGAUCGGGUAUUGAGUCCAUGGAGCGAGCUGAGAGCUAGAGAACCUGCUAAGGCCAUCAAACCUAUCGAUCGGAAGUCAGUCCAUCAGAUUUGCUCUGGGCCGGUGGUACUGAGUCUAAGCACUGCGGUGAAGGAGUUAGUAGAAAACAGUCUGGAUGCUGGUGCCACCAAUAUUGCGAUGUCACCAUUUCUACCUGCCACGCAUCGGCGAAGGUUGGGACUCGACUGGUGUUUGAUCACGAUGGGAAAAUCAUCCAGAAAACCCCCUACCCCCACCCCAGAGGGACCACAGUCAGCGUGAAGCAGUUAUUUUCUACACUACCUGUGCACCAUAAGGAAUUUCAAAGGAAUAUUAAGAAGACGUGCCUGUUUCCCCUUCGCCUUCUGCCGUGAUUGUCAGUUUCCUGAGGCCUCCCCAGCCAUGCUUCCUGUACAGCCUGCAGAACUGAUGGCCGUAUAAGAAAAUAAACAACUUGCUAAAACUGCUGAAACUCCCUCUGCUUGUGAGAUUUAAAAAAACUGGCUGAAAUUGGUUGGAACCAACAUGUCCAAUGGAGUCUGAAUAGAAAGAGCUUGCUGACAUCACAGCCCGAAUUUCCACCACAUUUCAUACUAACUCCCCCUGAAUUUGCAUAUGCAAACCACAAGCAAGCAUGAUCAAACAGACAACUGCGCGUGUCCGAGGACUUUCCAGAUCUCCCCUUUCCUUCCACCAAUCACUUACUAAUCUGAGAAUCCAUCCCCUAAUAAAAUCACUGCCUUAAAGCCUGCACAGGAAGACAAAUUUGA
ensembl:lncRNA PMS2P4 PMS1 homolog 2, mismatch repair system component pseudogene 4